AACGAACGCUGGCGGCAGGCCUAACACAUGCAAGUCGAGCGAGGACUUCGGUUCUAGCGGCGGACGGGUGAGUAACGCGUGGGAAUGUGCCCUUCUCUACGGAAUAGCCCUGGGAAACUGGGAGUAAUACCGUAUACGCCCUAUUGGGGAAAGACUUAUCGGAGAAGGAUCAGCCCGCGUUGGAUUAGGUAGUUGGUGGGGUAAUGGCCUACCAAGCCGACGAUCCAUAGCUGGUCUGAGAGGAUGAUCAGCCACACUGGGACUGAGACACGGCCCAGACUCCUACGGGAGGCAGCAGUGGGGGAUCUUGGACAAUGGGGGCAACCCUGAUCUAGCCAUGCCGCGUGAGUGAUGAAGGCCUUAGAGUUGUAAAGCUCUUUCAGCUGGGAAGAUAAUGACGGUACCAGAAGAAGAAGCCCCGGCUAACUCCGUG
rnacentral:rRNA from 1 species